GAUGAACGCUAGCGGCAGGCUUAACACAUGCAAGUCGAGGGGCAGCGGGUUGUAGCAAUACAAUGCCGGCGACCGGCGAAAGGGUGCGUAACGCGUGAGCAACUUGCCCGUAUCCGGGACAUAAGCGGUGGAAACGCCGUCUAAUUUCCCAUAACAACGAGGUUCGCAUGGACCAUGUUUGAAAGAUCCGUCGGAUACGGAUGGGCUCGCGAGACAUUAGCUAGUUGGUGAGGUAACGGCCUACCAAAGCAACGAUCUGUAGCCGGACUGAGAGGUUGGUCCCCCACACUGGAACUGAGACACGGUCCAGACUCCUACGGGAGGCAGCAGUGAGGAAUAUUGGACAAUGGUCGGAAGACUGAUCCAGCCAUGCCGCGUGAAGGAAUAAGGUCCUAUGGAUUGUAAACUUCUUUUGAGAGGGAGCAAUAAGGUGUACGUGUACACCGAUGAGAGUACCUUUCGAAUAAGCAUCGGCUAACUCCGUGCCAGCCGCCGCGGUAACAC
rnacentral:rRNA from 1 species